rnacentral:sRNA from 1 species
UCCCUCGACCUCGACCGGGUGUGGACGC